rnacentral:rRNA from 1 species
GUGUCAGCAGCCGCGGUAAGACGUAGGGGGCGAGCGUUGUCCGGAAUUACUGGGCGUAAAGAGCACGUAGGCGGAUAUUUAAGUCAGUUGUGAAAGACCGCGGCUCAACCGCGGGGUUGCAAUUGAAACUGGGUAUCUUGAGGGCAGGAGAGGUCAGUGGAAUUCCUGGUGUAGCGGUGAAAUGCGUAGAAAUCAGGAGGAACACCAGUGGCGAAGGCGGCUGACUGGACUGGCCCUGACGCUGAGGUGCGAAAGCGUGGGUAGCAAACAGGAUUAGAUACCCUGGUAGUCCACGCCGUAAACGAUGGAUACUAGGUGUGGGAGGUAUCGACCCCUUCCGUGCCGCAGCUAACGCAAUAAGUAUCCCGCCUGGGGAGUACGGUCGCAAGGCUGAAACUUAAAUAAAUUGACGG